rnacentral:rRNA from 1 species
AUUGAACGCUGGCGGCAUGCCUUACACAUGCAAGUCGAACGGCAGCGGGGGAGAAGCUUGCUUUUCCUGCCGGCGAGUGGCGAACGGGUGAGUAAUACAUCGGAACGUGCCCUGUAGUGGGGGAUAACUAGUCGAAAGAUUAGCUAAUACCGCACACGACCUGAGGGUGAAAGUGGGGGACCGCAAGGCCUCAUGCUAUAGGAGCGGCCGAUGUCUGAUUAGCUAGUUGGUGGGGUAAAGGCCUACCAAGGGGACGAUCAGUAGCUGGUCUGAGAGGACGAUCAGCCACACUGGGACUGAGACACGGCCCAGACUCCUACGGGAGGCAGCAGUGGGGAAUUUUGGACAAUGGGCGAAAGCCUGAUCCAGCAAUGCCGCGUGUGUGAAGAAGGCCUUCGGGUUGUAAAGCACUUUUGUCCGGAAAGAAAUGGCUCUGGUUAAUACCUGGGGUCGAUGACGGUACCGGAAGAAUAAGGACCGGCUAACUACGUGCCAGCAGCCGCCGUAA